UGGUGGGUAGUUUGACUGGGGCGGUCUCCUCCCAAAGAGUAACGGAGGAGCACGAAGGUGGGCUAAUCACGGUUGGACAUCGUGAGGUUAGUGCAAUGGCAUAAGCCCGCUUGACUGCGAGAAUGACAAUUCGAGCAGGUGCGAAAGCAGGUCAUAGUGAUCCGGUGGUUCUGAAUGGAAGGGCCAUCGCUCAACGGAUAAAAGGUACUCCGGGGAUAACAGGCUGAUACCGCCCAAGAGUUCAUAUCGACGGCGGUGUUUGGCACCUCGAUGUCGGCUCAUCACAUCCUGGGGCUGAAGUCGGUCCCAAGGGUAUGGCUGUUCGCCAUUUAAAGUGGUACGCGAGCUGGGUUUAGAACGUCGUGAGACAGUUCGGUCCCUAUCUGCCGUGGGCGUUGGAAGAUUGAAGGGGGCUGCUCCUAGUACGAGAGGACCGGAGUGGACGAACCUCUGGUGUUCGGGUUGUGUCGCCAGACGCAUUGCCCGGUAGCUAAGUUCGGAAUCGAUAACCGCUGAAAGCA
rnacentral:rRNA from 1 species